UGGGGGAUUUUGCACAAUGGGCGCAAGCCUGAUGCAGCGACGCCGCGUGAGGGAUGAAGGCCUUCGGGUUGUAAACCUCUUUCGCUGGGUUGAAAGGCCAUGCUUUGGGUGUGGUUGAUUUGAACUGGUAAAGAAGUACCGGCUAACUACGUGCCAGCAGCCGCGGUAAUACGUAGGGUACUAGCGUUGUCCGGAUUUAUUGGGCGUAAAGGGCUUGUAGGUGGUUUGUCGCGUCUGUCGUGAAAUCCUGUGGCUUAACCAUGGGCUUGCGGGGGGUACGGGCAGGCUGGAGUGCGGUAGGGGAGACUGGAAUUCCUGGUGUAGCGGUGGAAUGCGCAGAUAUCAGGAGGAACACCGGUGGCGAAGGCGGGUCUCUGGGCCGUUACUGACACUGAGGAGCGAAAGCGUGGGGAGCGAACAGG
rnacentral:rRNA from 1 species